UGCACUGCAUGGCAUUUGCACCCAGCAGUUUACUCAUUGCUAAGGUGUUCAAAGGUCAGUGCUAUAGAAAUUCAGUAUCUGGCAUCGUUGGUUUUCUUGACUUUGUGCUUGUUAAACCUGGUAUUUCUAUUGAUACAGUA